CCUACGGGAGACAGCAGUGAGGAAUAUUGGUCAAUGGCCGUAAGGCUGAACCAGCCAAGUCGCGUGAAGGAAGAAGGAUCUAUGGUUUGUAAACUUCUUUUAUAGGGGAAUAAAGGUAUCCACGGGUGGAUAUUUGCAUGUACCCUAUGAAUAAGCAUCGGCUAACUCCGUGCCAGCAGCCGCGGUAAUACGGAGGAUGCGAGCGUUAUCCGGAUUUACUGGGUUUAAAGGGUGCGUAGGUUGUUUUUUAAGUCAGCGGUGAAAGUUUGUGGCUCAACCAUAAAAUUGCCGUUGAAACUGGAAGACUUGAGUGUGUUUGAGGUAGGCGGAAUGCGUGGUGUAGCGGUGAAAUGCAUAGAUAUCACGCAGAACUCAGAUUGCGAAGGCAGCUUACUAAGCCAUAACUGACACUGAAGCACGAAAGCGUGGGGAUCAAACAGGAUUAGAUACCCCAGUAGUC
rnacentral:rRNA from 1 species